rnacentral:rRNA from 1 species
GACGAACGCUGGCGGCGUGCUUAACACAUGCAAGUCGUACGGUAAGGCCCUUUCGGGGGUACACGAGUGGCGAACGGGUGAGUAACACGUGAGUAACCUGCCCACAACUUUGGGAUAACGCUAGGAAACUGGUGCUAAUACUGGAUAUGUGCUCCUGCUGCAUGGUGGGGGUUGGAAAGCUCCGGCGGUUGUGGAUGGACUCGCGGCCUAUCAGCUUGUUGGUGGGGUAGUGGCCUACCAAGGCGGCGACGGGUAGCCGGCCUGAGAGGGUGACCGGCCACAUUGGGACUGAGAUACGGCCCAGACUCCGACGGGAGGCAGCAGUGGGGAAUAUUGCACAAUGGGCGCAAGCCUGAUGCAGCAACGCCGCGGGCGGGAGGACGGCCUUCGGGUUGUAAACCGCUUUCAGCAGGGACGAAGCUUUUUGUGACGGUACCUGCAGAAGAAGCACCGGCUAACUACGUG